rnacentral:rRNA from 1 species
AUCUUUUUUAUUUAGUAUAUAAAAGAAAAAAAUUAAAUUGUUAUAGUUUAAUAGUACUGUGAAGGAAUUUGAUUAAAUAUAUUAUCUAUAGUUUUUUUUAAGUAUGUUUAAUUUGCAGUACCUUUUGUAUCAGGGUUGAUUUAAUAAUUUAAUUUAUUUUUACAUCUCGAUUUUAUAGGAGCUAAAUUAUUAUUUUAGUUAAUGUUGCAUAAUYAUUAUUUAAUAAUUUAGAGGAGAAAUUUUAUUCGAUUAUAAAGGUAUCUAGUUUUUUAAGAAUUAAAUUUAAUUUAAUCCUAGUAAUUAAUUGNUUUAUUUUUAUAUAAAUUAUAUAUUAGGUUAAAUACUAUAGGGGAUAAGCUCUAUAUUUUUUUAUAAGGGUCUAUUUUAAUUAAUUUUUGUAGGUUAAAAAUAUCCUCAUUAGUAAGGGGGUAUAAUUUAUUUUUAUUAUUAAUUAAUUUUAUUUUCUUUAAUUAUUUAUUAAAAUACCAAUAUUAACUUUCURUUUUGGGAAAUAAUGGUUAAAUUAGUAUAAAUAAAUGUUUAUUAUAUUAUUCAUUUUAUGAUAAAAUAAGGAGCUCGGCAAAUAUAGUUCUCGCCUGUUUAUCAAAAACAUGUCCUUUUGGUUUUAAUUGAAGGUCUGACCUGCCCAGUGAUUAAUUUAACGGCCGCGGUAUACUGACCGUGCAAAGGUAGCAUAAUCAUUAGUCUUUUAAUAGAGGGCUGGAAUGAAAGGUUUAACGAGGAACUACCUGUCUCAUUUUAUUUGUUUUAAAAUUUAAUUUUUUAGUUAAAAAGCUAAAAUUCUAUUGGAAGACGAGAAGACCCUAUAGAUCUUUAUAUUAUUUUGUUUAAUUUUCUUUAUAUAAAUAUAUUUAUAUAAAAUUUUAUUUUGUUGGGGUGACAAAAAUAUAGUAUUAACUUUUUUAUUUAUAUAACAUUGAUUUAUGAUUAUUAGAUCCAAUAUUUAUUGAUUAUUAGAACAAGUUACCUUAGGGAUAACAGCUGUAAUCCUCCUCCAGAGUUCAUAUUUACAGGAUGGGCUUGCGACCUCGAUGUUGGAUUAAGAUGAUAAUUAGGUGUAGCUGCUUAAUUUAUAGGUCUGUUCGACCUUUAAAUUCUUACAU